GCUGGUCUGAGAGGACGACCAGCCACAUUGGGACUGAGAUACGGCCCAGACUCCUACGGGAGGCAGCAGUGGGGAAUAUUGGACAAUGGAGGAAACUCUGAUCCAGCGACACCGCGUGGGGGAUGAAGGCUUUCGGGUCGUAAACCCCUUUUCUGGGGGAAGAAUAAGGUUGGGAGGAAAUGCCCAUCCGAUGACGGUACUCCAGGAAUAAGCAUCGGCAAACUCCGUGCCAGCAGCCGCGGUAAGACGGAGGAUGCAAGCGUUAUCCGGAAUUACUGGGCGUAAAGGACGUCUAGGCGGUUGGGUAAGUCACUUGUGAAAGCCCUCGGCUCAACCGAGGAAAGUCUCGUGAUACUGCCCAGCUUGGGUGUAGGAGAGGGAAGUGGAACUCACAGAGUAGCGGUGGAAUGCGUAGAUACUGUGAGGUACCCCGAUGGCGAAGGCAACUUCCUGGCCUACUACCGACGCUGAAGCGUGAAAGCGUGGGGAGCAAAGGGGAUUAGAUACCCCCGUAGUCCACGCCCCAAACGAUGUUCACUUGGUGUCGGCCGCAAAUGUAGGUCGGUGCCGGAGCUAACGCGUUAAGUGAGCCGCCUGAGGAGUACGGCCGCAAGGCUAAAACUCAAGAGAAUUGACGGGUCCCCGCACAAGCGGUGGAGCACGUGGUUUAAUUCGAUGUAAGCGAAGAACCUCACCCAGGCUUGACAUACUAGUGGUAGGAACCUGAAAGGGGGACGACCCUACCUUCGGGUAGGGAGCUAGUACAGGUGAUGCAUGGCUGUCGUCAGCUCGUGUCGUGGGAUGUAGGGUUAAGUCCCGAAACGAGCGCAACCCUUGUCGUUAGUUGCCAGCGGGUAAUGCCGGGGACUCUAGCGAGACUGCUGGUGAAUAGCCGGAGGAAGGCGGGGAUGACGUCAAGUCAUCAUGUCCCUUAUGCCUGGGGCGACACACAUGCUACAAUGGGUGGUACAGAGGGUCGCGAAGCCGUAAGGUGGAGCCAAUCUCACAAAACCAUCCUCAGUUCGGAUUGAGGUCUGCAACUCGACCUCAUGAAGCCGGAAUCGCUAGUAAUCGCGGGUCAGCCAUACCGCGGUGAAUAUGUACUCGGGGAUUGUACACACCGCCCGUCACACCAACCGAGUGGGGGGUACCUGAAGUCGUCUCUAGGAGGCGCCGAGGGUAACCUUCGCAAGAGGGGUGAAGUCGUAACAAGGUA
rnacentral:rRNA from 1 species